rnacentral:rRNA from 1 species
UACGGAGGGUGCUAGCGUUGUUCGGAAUUACUGGGCGUAAAGGGCGCGUAGGCGGCCGUUUGCGUCGGAUGUGAAAGCCCGGGGCUCAACCUCGGAACGGCAUUCGAUACGGGACGGCUGGAGACCGGGAGAGGAGAGUGGAAUAGCCAGUGUAGAGGUGAAAUUCGUAGAUAUUGGCUGGAACACCGGUGGCGAAGGCAGCCCCCUGGGCCAACACUGACGCUCAGGCACGAAAGCGUGGGGAGCAAACAGG